CCUACGGGAGGCAGCAGUGGGGAAUUUUCCGCAAUGGGCGAAAGCCUGACGGAGCAACGCCGCGUGAGGGAUGAAGGCCUCUGGGCUGUAAACCUCUUUUUUCAAGGAAGAAGAUCUGACGGUACUUGAAGAAUAAGCCACGGCUAAUUCCGUGCCAGCAGCCGCGGUAAUACGGGAGUGGCAAGCGUUAUCCGGAAUUAUUGGGCGUAAAGCGUCCGCAGGCGGCCUUGAAAGUCUGUCGUUAAAGCGUGGAGCUUAACUCCAUUUAAGCGAUGGAAACUACAAGGCUAGAGUGUGGUAGGGGCAGAGGGAAUUCCCGGUGUAGCGGUGAAAUGCGUAGAUAUCGGGAAGAACACCAGUGGCGAAGGCGCUCUGCUGGGCCAUAACUGACGCUCAUGGACGAAAGCCAGGGGAGCGAAAGGGAUUAGAUACCCUCGUAGUCCAUACCAUAAACGAUGAUUGCUAGAUGUUGGAAAUUUAUUUUCAGUAUCGCAGCUAACGCAUUAAGCAAUCCGCCUGGGGAGUACGACCGCAAGGUUAAAACUCAAAGGAAUUGACGG
rnacentral:rRNA from 1 species